rnacentral:rRNA from 1 species
GUACGGGAGGCAGCAGUUGGGAAUCUUGCGCAAUGGGCGAAAGCCUGACGCAGCGACGCCGCGUGAAGGAUGACGGUCUUCGGAUUGUAAACUUCUUUUCUCGGGGACGAACUCUUGACGGUACCCGAGGAAUCAGCCCCGGCUAACUCCGUGCCAGCAGCCGCGGUAAGACGGAGGGGGCAAGCGUUGUCCGGAAUUACUGGGCGUAAAGGGCGCGUAGGCGGUUGCGUACGGCGGUGGUGAAAGCUCCCGGCUUAACCGGGAGAGGUCCAUCGCGACGGCGCGACUGGAGGUAGGUAGAGGCAGACGGAAUUCCAGGUGUAGCGGUGAAAUGCGUAGAGAUCUGGAGGAACACCCGUGGCGAAGGCGGUCUGCUGGGCCUGGCCUGACGCUGAGGCGCGAAAGCGAGGGGAGUGAACGGGAUUAGAUACCCCGGUAGC